UGAGGGAUAUUGGUCAAUGGGGGAAAACCCUGAACCAGCAACGCCGCGUGAGGGAAGACGGUCUUCGGAUUGUAAACCUUUGUCCUCUGUGAAGAUAAUGACGGUAGCAGAGGAGGAAGCUCCGGCUAACUACGUGCC
rnacentral:rRNA from 1 species